GAAUGGUUAUGGAGAGAAGAGCAACUAAUCUCACUGGUAGGAGGGAAGGAAACCAAAGGGAGCCACAGUCACUGCAUACCAGAGUUCUCCCGGCCGGCGGCGUUGGACGUAGGCGUAGUGUGCUGCCACCUUCAGAGCCAGCGAGCGAGCGUAGAGCCGAGAUCCGGAUGAGACCUGGAGAGGAUCGGCCCUUGGAGGGUGGCGCGCCCGAUGGCGUCUCCGAGUUGGAGCUGCUGGAGCUGCUGGAGCUGCUGAAGCUGCGCGCGGCGGAGCGCAUCGACGAGGCAGCCGAGCGGCUGGG
rnacentral:lncRNA from 1 species